AUGAUGGACGUAAUAUUUGAAUCUUCCCAUAGUGUUUUUUUUUGUAAAUGAGUCACAUGUGAGUAUCUGGAGGAGAGGUUAAAAACAUAGUGUAUAGAUUAGACCGGCCCACAUUUGUAUGAAGCGAAAAAAAAGUUUUCAAAAUUCACGGGGUACCCUCUAGAAUCGUGUUUUUGGAUGAGAAGAACAAUCUAAGAAAGAUUCAGCUCAAUCGGUUGAAAACUGAGCUGGCGCAAAUGAGUUGAAGGUUUGUAUGGGAUGUUCAGUCCAAUUAUAUGGGAAAUUGGAUGACCUCCAGUCACUCAUACAGCACGCCGGUUUGGCGAGUUCGAUUUGGCUCAGAAUUGAAAGAAUAGCAGUUGAUACCCUAAUGAACAACUUUGUAGAAGACCAUAUCAUGAUAAAACUUAAUUUAGUUGCGGUUUUAGCCAACGAAACCAGGAUUUGGACAUCUUCCUCUGUUUACUCUCGGUUGUUACAUGCAGUACGUGUUUGUCGUUCGAAACUUGCUCACUACAUCAUAGGCGGCUAUGUUGUCUUUCAUUUUCAUUGCUCACGCAUGUGGGUGAGUAUCGAGACAAUGUAGAAUUACAUAGCUGCCUAUGAUGUAGCGCGCAAGCUACGGCCAACCAACACGUGCUCCAUAUAACAACCGAGAGUAAACAGAGGACGAUGUUCUCAUCCUGGUUUCUUUGGCUAUAACCGCAACUAAAUUAAGUUUUAUCAUGAUAUGGUCUUCUACAAAGUUGUUCAUUAGGGUAUCAACUGUUAUUCUUUCAAUUCUGAGCCAAAUCGAAUUCGCCAAACCGGCGUGCUGUAUGAGCGACUGGAGGUCAUCCAAUUUCCCAUAUAUUUGGACUGAACAUCCCAUACAAACCUUCAACUCGUUUGCGCCAGCUCAGUUUUCAACCGAUUGAGCUGAAUCUUUCACAGAUUGUUCUUCUCAUCCAAAGGCACGAUUCUAGAGGGUGUCCCGUGGAAUUUUUCGACAUUUUUAUAUUUGGGCCGGUCUAGUAUAGAUGCAUUAAGUGCUAGCCUCAAUUUGUUGAUAGACGCCAUUGACACAUUGCUAUAAAUGAAAUCACAGUAAGUGAUUUUAGGCAAAACCAACGCCUUAAGUAAUUUUAUUUUGGCGGUAGUGUCCAAAUGACGAGUUGAGCGAUUCAAUUGUUUUAAUGCACCAUAGACCUUCCCACAUUGUGAGUUGAUAUAUGCAUCCCAACUGAAACUAGAGUCUAUGAUGACACCAAGAUCCGACGCCUGAUCAACAAAAUUGAUUAAUUCUCCACCAAGGAAUAAGCAGCCAAGGAUGCAGCAACUUCAGCAAUGUUCAAUCUAUUUCAUUGAACAGGACUAUUGUCAUACCGAUAAGUCAUCGGAUAGACAGCGCCCGAAGCUCACAACAAUUCUUAAAAGAUUCCUCUCCCGCUCUAACAUUCAUGCACACAACAAAUUCAUCAUUCAUAUUGCUAAUCAAACGCGUGUUUCUGUUGCGUGUAUGAAUGUCAGAGCAACCAAAUGUUUUAGUGGUUUGUUUUUAUCAAAUUAAAGUUGGAAUCCAAACUUCAUUGCCGGUCAAAACAAACAAAAAGAUCAGUUGAAAUAACCAGCGUUUUGGUUAAAAUGUACCUACAUAUUGUCUUUUCUAGAAUUAAUAAAUUCAAAUAACAAAUCUAUUAUAAUUUGAAUGAAUAUCCUCUCAAUUAGGAGAGCGCAAUUUGUAGUACCUGUAGGAUAGUUUUCGCUUUGUCAAAUCCGUCAGGAACUGAUGCCCAGCACAGCCAUCGAAGCCUCUUUCAUCACUGUCUUCAAAACAGUUCCGGCUACUAAGGUUCACUUAAAGCAGAGAUUAUUUUUAACCACGUCACUUUGUUCAUCAUAUAUUCAUUUAUCCUAUUCUGAAGCCAACAGCACAACGCAUUUUAUGAUUUACUUCGCAUUUUCUGCACUUUUUAAUUUGUAGCUACGGUUUAAGGAUGGAUUUGAGAAAUCUUAUGCGCCAUACCAAAAUAUUUGGGUUCGCAUAUGAAACAUCUUAAAAGAGGGGGGGGAGGUUGGGUCGGUGUAUAACUCGACAGCCCCCAAGGCUAUGGCAGCGAACGUUUUAGUUAUUUUAAUGAUCCAUUACGCCGUAUUAGGGAAUUGGUUCCCUUAUUAAGCAUGUGGCUCCCAUUUUCAUCCUACGGAAAACAAAGGAUUUAAGCGUUGUUUGUUUUGUUUCUUAUUUUUUUUAUUUUUUGUUAGGAACACGCAUGAAAACAAAAAGAACGAAAUCGGUGCCGUAAUCGCUUGUUUUCGAAUAGGAUGAAUAUGGGAGCGUGUGAUUAAUGAUGGAACACAUACCCUAUACAUUUACUUACCAAUCAGUGUUGAUUGAAGAGUCUUCAAUAGUCCUAGGAAUGCAUCCGCUCCGUAAGUUAAUGCAGUAUUCUUCAAACAUGAAAUACACAGAGGAUUUAUCCUUUUAAAUACGUUUUAUUUUUCUCAAAAAUAUACAUUCAAUUUUCUAUUGUUAAUAAUAAUAUUAAAUUUUUUGCACCUCAUCAACUUAAUUUUAUCCUCAAUAUUCUAGAUAUGCUACACAAAUCUUAUUGAUACAUGUUUUUCCAAAAAAAAAAAACAAGCUUAAUAAUUCCCUUUUGACAUUAUAUAAUAAAUUAUAGGAUUUGUUAUUUACACACUAAUUUUGCUCAUUAAAUACAUGUACCGUUGACUGGGGUGUAGUUGAUCAAUGGGGUAAACCUGAUCACUCAAACACCCACGGAUAUAGACUUUUAAGGAAGCAACAGUUAUAUUUUAACCAUUCGCAAUCCAAUGACGAAGCAUUAAAAUGGAAUGGUAACUUCCUUGAAAGUCGAUAUCCGUGGGUAUUUGAGUGAUCAGAUUCACCCCACUGAUCAACUACACCCCAGUUUACGGUACGCUAAACUCUCCAUUUACUUUAAUACGACAUAAAUUGCAACUUAGAUCUUAGAAAUUCUAGGAUAUAAACAUCAUCAUUGACAAGAGAACUAUGCAAUACAAUUAUUAUGUCAUCAAUAAACAUAACUCUGUUGAAAUGAAACGAAAUUCAGUCUGCACAAAUUUAGUGGCGUUGUGUAUUUAAAUUGACCCUCAGAAUAGUAAUUUCAACCGCAAGCCGCUUUUCAGUGUAUGACAGCAUUUAGCAUGCAAGGCGAACUGACGUAUUCUCGGCAGUUUUGUUCUCUUCGUCAAGUUUUUUUGAAAUCUGUUGAAUCAAAGAUGGCGUCAAAUCUUUCCCAAUCAGGCUGAUUUGUACAACUAAGUUUCAAGCAAUUUGGCCUACAAAGUCUGGGGGAGUCUGGGAUUGUGUGACGAGUCAUGUAUUAGCCAAAGGCUUGUUGCUCAAUAAAUAGUAAUACAUAAUAAAUAGGUAUGUGAAAAUAUGGUACGGGAAAAAUGGAGGGAGUAAAAAAUCGAUCAAAAUGCUACGUCAUUUAGGACGCUCCCUAAACUUAUGCCGUUUUUCUUUUUAAUCCAGUUCCACACACUAAGAUUCAGAUGUUCCAGCUCAGUAAUUUUUUCACUGAGUUCAGUAUUUUUUCCAUCUUUUUACUGAGUUUUCAACAGCAGAUUUAUUUCGGUACACUCGGUAAUCGUAUUUACCGUUCACCAGUAACGAUAUUUACCGUGCUUCAGUAACUUUUGACAGUUUGUGAGCUGAGCUCGGUAACUCAUUUACAGAAUAUCCGCAAAAUAAAUAACCGAGCGUACCGAGUUAAAUCUGCUGUUGAGAACUCAGUAUAAAGAUGGGAAAAAUACCGAGCUGAUCUUAGUGUGCAACCUUGGUUAGAACUGGAUGAGACCACAGUUUCAACCCCAAUCCGACUUCGGUUUCGCUUGUACUAAAGUUUGUUUAACGUUGUUUGUUUACACAUUUUCCGCCAAUCCAGUUCCAACCCAGAUUAAAACAGAAAAAUGGCAUUAAAGAGCUAUACUGUGUGGUUUGUUUUUACUUAGCGUGCAUGCCCAUUACAUUCUCUCUUUAUUUCACACAAACGUUAUGCACUCUCUUUCAUCUAAUCGUAUACAUCCCCUCCCUGCGAUCUGCCUGACGACCAAUCAGCAUUCAGCAAUAUGAAUAACCUGUGAAUAACGGAUGGCUGCCUUUGCAUUGGCUACGCCUGUUGUCCUACCACAGUGCAUCAAAACGGCGAUUCCAUCAAAGACAGGCAUAUACGGAAAACACGGAAAACUGAUAUGGAUCUCUGCUUAGGCAAGGAUGAGCAUUUUUGUCACAUUGUCACUUCAGUUGUCUCCCUCAGGCAAUAACCGACUCUUUUUAACAUACAUACUUAUAAAAAUAAACCCAAAUGUGGAAAUCAUAUAAAAGGCAUAUCUAUUGUAUGUAACUUUCAUAACAAAACGCGCUGCCAACUUCCAGUCGGCAUUUCUGAAUCAUCGCAACGAAUCAAGCACCACCUCUGCUGCUGUUUGUGUUAGUGAGAUCGGAGAAACGUCAGACUCCCGCCUGCUGAUUGGUUGCGACGACUCUGGCGACGGUUUCAUCCGCGACGGAUUCAAAUUGUCGCGUUCGAAAAGGGGGGAAACCGUCAAUAUAUAAAUAAAAAUGGAAUGGUGUUUGUAUGUCACGAAUAGGCUCGGGAACGGGUCAACAGAUCGACAUGGUUCUUUCAUUGUUGCAUCCCGCCAGGGCUCCGACGUGUUCGUACGAAAAAAUAAUUAGAAAAAGUGACCGGGAAGGCAAGAAAAACGGGAAAAUCUGAAAUUCCAUUUUGAGGGGCAUUUCUUCACGGAAACGGAUGUCAAAAAACAGAGUAGGCAGGCAGGACGACGUUUGCCGGGACUGCUAGUCUAUAUAUAUAAAAAUGAGUUUGGAGUUCCUUUGAGGCAACAAAACUCAAGAACGGAUGAACCGAUCAGCAUGACUCUUGCGCGAUUCGGUUCGUAUUCGUGGUGGCUGUGUUUAUAUGUACCGUAAAAUGGGGUAACUUUGAUAGUUUUUCAGCGAAUUUUCUCAAUAUUUUUACAUGUAACAGUAUUUCCCCGAUUUUUAUAUUUGUAAAACAAGUACUGGGCUAUCAGUUAUCAAUUGCAAUUAAAAGAUUCGAUAAUCUCAAAUAUUUUGGAUAACUUUUAGUUUUUCAUAUAACCGAAAAUCAGAUUUUCAUUUUGGGGUAACUUUGAUAAUGCCCUAAAACACAUCAAAUCUAAAAAAAUAAUCAGAGAUUGAAAUCUUAGGAGUAUGAACAUGAUGAGAGAAGGCUUGCGGAAUAUAUAAAUAAGAUAGAAUUUUUAUAUAAAAAAAUGUUUUUUUUCUAAAUUCUACAUAUAAAAAUAAGUUUGUGCAGUAUUGAGUGCAAAACACAAUAAAUUUAGCCAUAAAAAAUCAUUAUCUUUGUAAUAAUAAAUGCUUAACGGUACAUCAACAUAUGAUUACAUGCUAUUCAUGGUUAGUUUUCUUGUUUUGGGUAGUUUUUAAUGUUUUAUUAGCAAAUUUUGAACAACACAUAUUUAUCUACAUGCAAUUACAAGGGCAUUGCAUACUUUUAGGCGUUUAUCAAUGUAUGGAGAAUAAUAUCCCAAUUUACAAAAAUGCCUCCAUUUCGUAAAAACGCACUUUGUUAAGGGAUUCAAGGCCAGAUUUGGAAUCUACUAUAAUGAAUCUAUCGAGAAUAAGAGUCCAUUCAUUGAAAAAAUAGUUUUAACAAAGUCGUAUAGCAGAUUGUUUGAAGGGGUUGUUAAACGACAAAAAUAUCAACAAUUUUUAUUUUUUGCCCAAAAAGUUGUAUAUAAACUAGAUUUUAAUGAAAAUACGUCUACGAUGAACUUUCAUAUGUAUAAAAUUGAUUUACGUUUACCUUUUUCUUAACUGGUUGAAGGAAUCAUAGUUAUAAGAUAAAUUACACAAUGCCUGCCGCACUAUCAAAGUUGCCCGCAUUAUCAAAGAUACCCCGGUUUACGGUAUAAAAAGUUACGAAAAUCAACUAGAAAAACAUCAAAAUUGAUAAGGUACUGAUUUUUCAUGAGCUGGGAAGAAAAUCGACACGAGGGAAAUAAAACCAAUCUAGAGUGCGGUGCAACGAUGACCCCAACAGUUGUCAAACCACCACAUCUUGGCAAGACAAAGUUUGCCGGGACAGCUAGUUCUGAAUAAAGACAGAAAAAUUCUGAUUCUUAGCUCGACCCAAUUGGACGUCUCCAAUCUGGCUAUCGACUACUAAGUUUGAAGAAUCCGUAAGCGACCCUUCUGGUUAUCGUCUUAAAGUUAAGUCCGCCGCGUUUAUUCCGCUUCGUGGCAUGGUCCGUUAAACCAUGUUAGUGAUCAGUGUUAAUAGUGACGUAUACUUGUAAUGCGUAAGGACAACGCAUUAUAGGAGAUGGCGACCGUUAGGCAAGGUUCCUGAGUAAAACUGCGUGAAUAAGGAGUAAAUAAGGACUGUAUCGUUAAGCCUUAGUGAACAAGAAUAAAGAAGAAAGUGAACAAUUUUGGCGUGAAAUAGACGCGCAAGCGCGAAGUGUAGUACGUUGUACUCAGCAGAAAUCUCAAAUUACAGACCUCCAUAUUUACAGUAAAUAAGCCUCACAUAUCGAUCGCCCCUGAUUGGUCCGAUCGAUGCUAGGCACCUCCUUCCUCAGAAAGACUAUCAUAGUAUUUGUUUGUGAAAUUCUAGAGUUAAGCUAGCGAUAAGUUAAAAGGAAAUAAACGAGUCAGAGUGAACCUGAAUCUUAAACCAAACAGAUGUCGUUUCGUUAUUUCUCCGAACGACACAUGUGCCAAGGGGGUCUUUGGGGGAGAGUCCGUGGAGAUACGCUCUAAUUCGGCCCACAUAUCAGAGCGCGAGUGCAGAGAAGUUCUGUCGAAAAACCAACAUUCAGUGAGAUAUGACCCGUAUGCAGAUGUUCUUCAUUCUUCCCUAUUUCUUGGAGGACGGUGCAAAGACAAGGUUUGUCGCACCAUAUUUGAGAAUAGAAUAUGGUUACAGUGAGGAACCUGGGUAGCCGUGAAAGAUGUUCCAAAGAUAGAUUGGAUCGGGGAAUACCGGUAUUAUCUGAAAGACUGUGCGGGUCCUCUGGUCCAGUGUGGCAGUAGGUCUUUGUUCUAUUUCUGGCUGUCUUCGACUGACUAAUUGUAGAUCGGGAUUCAGUGGUUACUACAAAAGAAUAAUCAGGAACCAAUCACUAGGACAAGAAGACGACGGAAUCUUUUAUCAACCUUGAUAGGACUGAUACACCAUUACUCUCUGAUACCACAGGCCCGGGUAAUACAGAAGGUCAAAGAACACUUAUAUUGAUAAUUAUGUACUCCUCUUUUUAUAAUACCAAUGAAAACUACCCAUAAACUUAGCAUGACUGAUGAAUGAGUCCGGGCCAAUUGACGAUCAUCAGUGGCCUAUAGUACUUUAGAUUUCACUCAAAGCCACACUGAGCACCUCAACCUCCGACUUUUAUGCUGUGCAUUGCCAGUCCGCUACUUCUCACGCUAUUUUAAGUAGGGUAGAAGCUUCAGUUUUGGCCAGCCCGGAGUUUUGGCCAUAGUGCGGUAUUCAGCCUGUUACGAUCUAAAUCGGCAUAAAUUUAUUUUUUACUAGUAAAUUCUAAUAUAAUAUGAUGAUAACAGGUGUGAAAACCAAACAUUUUAAUUAAAAACUGGAAGAAAAAAAUAAUUUUCCUUAAAAAAAUCAGCUCCCAUAUAUCUAUUUUGGCCAGGGUGCUUCUAAUUUGGCCACUCCCAUAAGAAAUACACGUGAUUGGCCAAAAUAGAAACCAAAGCUGAGAAUAUGGCCAAAACUGCGGCAAUACUUCUAUUUUGGCCAGUGCCACUUUUGAUACAAAAAUCAAGUAGUAGCUUGAUUUCUGCAUUUUUCUAAUAAACUAUAAAUUGAAACCUUUCAUUUGACACAUUGGUAGUUUUCAUUGAAAUAUUGGUUGUUUUUAUAAAAAUGAUUUCCCUUAGACUGGCCAAAACCGGUGCCCGCACCCUAGAUUGUUAACGAAACAUCGUGACUAAUGAAAAUCUCAACCCAAUCAAUAAACGAACAUUACAAAAAUUGCUGAUUUUGAUAUUAAACGUGCAACUUCCUUCACUGAUAUUCUCAAUUUACUAUCGGAAUAAACUCCUGAAAAUCAUGUGCAAACGGCUGUGCGAUUCAUAAAAUCCAAAUUAAUAAGAAAGGCAAGAUAAGGACAAAUAAUUUAGCCACAAUACAGGUUAUAAUAGAUGAUUUGAAAGCACGUUGCAAAAGUCAAGAAAAACCAGAAUCACUUAUAACUAAAUUGAAGCAACUGAGAAAGCCAUCAACAACCAAGCUUUGCGAUGAAAUCGAAAGUCUGACUUUAAAAUUGAAAAGCCUCUACAUGGAACAGAAAGUUCCGGAAGAGGUAGCAAACUCAAUGGCAACCGUGGAAAGAUGGGUAUUCUGAAAGUCAAUGAAAAUGUAAGUUCUGAAAAUGCCCAGGUAUUAUUCACCAACUCCAUAAAGUGUAACAAGCAAUCGUUCCGCAACAAUCCUCGAUUUAAUUCAAGCCAGGUUUAACUGUAUGGGUAAGCCUGGCUUACCGGUUAAGCCGAGGUGAAGAAAUCGGCCCUUACUCUCUUUCGUCACAAUUCUAGCACAGGAAAAAUGCACCGAACCAUAGUCAAGUCCAUUUCUUGCCUCCACAGUAGCAGCGUGAGAGAUCCGACAAUAGCAAACGCAAGGAUCCUGGCUGUAGUGAUAGAGGCAGUACGCACGUAACAAAGAAGCGUAAUUUACGACCAAAAACUAGCAUGGUGCAGCCGUUCAUAAGAAUGCAUUGUAAGUCACCAAAGGAAAACGUUUCAUAGUGUCGAACAACAAACGGAAGGCUAGGCCACGAUACUGAAGAUUUGAACAUUCUCUGCGAUAGGUCGCUGCUUGAAAGUCGUGGCAUAGAACAAAAACGAAUUUCAUUUUAAUCAAAUGAGUAAUAAAAUUUUACUAUCAGUGAACAGUCGAUUCAUAACAAUUGAACAAGCCUACCCUUUAGGACGCUAAUCAAUAACUAGUAAAGGUUCUACAAGAUUCUGGCUAACCGCUAGAGCAAUAAAACGUGAGUAAGUUUUAAAUUAAGGAAGACGCUCGGUCGCAGGCACUAGAAGCUAGUGUUUGAUAAUGUUUCAGCCUUACUAAAUGUACCAAAAAAGGAUUAGCUUAAAUGCAAGUGUAAAGAGAAAGCGGGAUUAGGACAUUACAUGGAAAAGUUAGCCGCGCAUGCGUACUGAGCAUCAAUUCCAAAAUUUUGGGCUAGGUACACUAUAACCGACAUUUUCAUAUGAAUAAACAGUUCUUGAUUGACACUCAAGCGACUCUCAUCGAUGUUUUCAUCCGAAACCAUCCAUCUCCAAACAUAAUUAAACUAAUCAGAAAACCAGCGCAAGUUUCUCCUCAGGCCGAUAUACUGCCCCUCCUUAGUCGGGCAAGUAGAUCCUAGGCAUUCUUAGUCUGGAACCUGUUUCAAAGCCGAGUAUAUCUGCAAUUGUCGCACUCCGUUAAUGUUCGCGCCGCGUCCUUCGCUCGAUGUUACGCGCGGUGUCAACAUUUGGUGGCUCCAGCCUAGGAAUUCUACAGACUCCAAAUAAAACGAAGUGUGGCCUGUGCAAAGAAGUGAGAAGCAGAAUAAGCACAAAGCCAAGUGCUAGAAAGGUGCAAAGAAGAAGAAGAAGAAGCUGAUGUGAGAGACAGAAGAAGAAGUGAGAAGCAGAAUAAGCACAAAACUAAGUGCUAGAAAGGUGCAAAGAAGAAGAAACAGAUGUGAGAAGCAGAAGAAGUCAGAAGCAGAAUAAGCACAAAACCCAAGUGCUAGAAAGGUACAAAGAAGAAGAAACAGAUGUGAGAGGCAGAAGAAGAAGUUAGAAGCAGAAUAAGCACAAAAGCCAAGUGCUAGAAAGGUGCAAAGAAGAAGAAGAAGAAGUGAGAGACAGAAUAAAAACGAAAGCCAAAUGCCAAAAAUUUCUAGAUGAAAAUUUAAGAAAAGGCGUAAAAAUAUAAAGAAUGCAAGAUUUAAUAGACGAAGUCAAUUAUCUUGUUGAAAGAUUCCAUUUGAUCGUCAAACAAACAAAAUCAAAAAUUCAAAAACUUUUAUAAGUGGAGUAAAAAGCCACUCCUAUCAGGAGAAAUAAGCGAAACAAAAAAGUUUACAUUGACCCUUUGGAAAAAUACAUCAAGAGAAGAAAAAGUUAUGCAUUCAAUUUCUAAAAUUUUGGAGUUGAAAAAUAAACCAAUACCUCAACACCGUAAAAAGCUCAUUGAGAUAGAGCGAAUUGAAGAGAACAAUAAACGUAACUAAAAACAUAGAAAGAAAAAAAAACAGUUAAAUAAACUAGCGCCGAAUUGUGGACAAAAAGAAGAACUACAUUGUGUGAAUUCAGAACAAUCACCAGGAACAUUCAGUUUAAUAGUGCUUAGGAUUGCUCUACGGAAUCUCUAAGUGCAAGGACAACACGCAAAGGUACGUAAAGAGAAAAAUAACGAAAGAAACCAUCACGAUGGAAUUUAAUUUCACACAAAACCCAAAUGGCCAUUGCCGUCUAUGUACCCAGAAGGACGGGGUACAAGACAUGGUCGCUUGCGAUUACUGUGAUCACUGGUUCCAUUAUGGAUGUGCGGGACUGUGUAAGCUUCCGGAAAAAAAAUCUCUGGUUAUGUGUUUAAUGCGCAAAGUUCCAAUACGAACAAAAUACCAUGAAGCAACAGCUAGCGGAUAUGGAAAAACUAAAACAACAAAUGGAGGUAUUGCGAUUGGAAAUUGACGCACUAACAAAGGCACAACGAUCUGCAGAAGUACACGCAGACUCUAUUGAAGCAGAACUCGCUCACUGUAAGGAUAAACUAAAUGCUAAAACCAGGAAGAAGGUCGCAAGCAGAAUGCGCUGUGCCUACAUCUGAUUUACAUCAAUAUAAAUUCUUUACCCUUAGCAGACCACCCUGCUUCAUACAGUUCAUAAAACUGCAACAUAAAUCUUUUACCGAAACCUAAAGCAUGUCGUAACCACUCGAGGUGACAGACCCGAACCAUACCCAGGUCAAUUUACAUUUCACAGCGUGAGAACACAAAUGCGAACGAACUACAAUGUAACAGUCAGCAGUAUGCAUUCUAUUUUACUUAACCCAUCUGAUUCCUAUUAACGACACACAACUAACUGACUAGCACAGCGCAACUCUAUCUGUCCUUCUCUAUAUCUCUAUAUACUUUAAACCGUUAGUGAGGAUCGAUACAUAUUUGAUCGAUCCCGAAAUCCAUGUAACCUAGCAAGUAAGAUUGGUUGAAAUAAAACAUUCAUUCAAAACCGAACCACCAAAGUAUCUGCUUGUGACGACAAGUCCCCACACAUGCAGUGCCCUAUUCCAUGCUUACUACACAUCAAUGGUGAAAAAAGUAGCACAGCAAGAAAUUAAGUUACACGGUAAACAGGAGGUAGCUUGUCACAAAAUUCAUCAACGAUGUGGCCGCAGGAAGAGCUACCGUGGAGACGGGUCAGUGUCAUUUGGCAUAGUCAUUUGGCAUAAGGCCGUUCGGCAUAAGGUCACUUGACAUAAAGACAUUUGGCAUAAUAAAGAAGGGUGCAUUUCGAUUAUGCCAAAUGACCGUAAUGCCAAAUGUCUUUAUGCCAAGUGGCCUUAUGCCAAAUGUCCAGCUCUCGUUUAUAACAGAGGUGGACAGUACAAUAAUGAUUAUAACAGAGGCGGACAGUACAAUAAUAGUUAUAACAGUCAGUACAACCAUGUUAUAACAGAGGUGGUCGGCAGAAUAACUAUCCCCAACAAGUGUAUACUACAAAU